AUAUAGGGUGUGUUAUGUGGGCAUGUUCCCAUGGCCUCCCAUAGUAUGGCAUGUGAGAGCUAAUUGUAGCCUGGAACCAUUUCCUGGCCUUCUUGCCCAUAGGCUGCAGAUGUGGAAGCAGAUUGCACAGCA
rnacentral:snoRNA from 1 species